rnacentral:tRNA from 1 species
GGAGGGGCUGUGGCUCAAUGGCAGAGCACCUGCUGAGCAUGCAGAAGGAUCCUGGGUUCAUGCAGAAGCUCCCGGGGUUCAAUCCCCGGUCUCUCCA